rnacentral:misc_RNA from 1 species
GAUGAAGAACGUAGCGAAAUGCGAUAAGUAGUGUGAAUUGCAGAAUUCAGUGAAUCAUCGAAUCUUUGAACGCACAUUGCGCCCCUUGGUAUUCCAUGGGGCAUGCCUGUUCGAGCGUCAUUUGUACCUUCAAGCUUUGCUUGGUGUUGGGUGUUUGUCCCUCGGGACUCGCCUUAAAGUCAUUGGCAGCCAGUGUUUUGGUUUUGAAGCGCAGCACAAGUCGCGAUUCAAGGCUAUCCGCCCGCUUCCACAAGCCUUUUUCACUUUUGACCUCGGAUCAGGUAGGGUUACCCGCUGAACUUAAGCAUAUCAAUAAGCGGAGGA